rnacentral:rRNA from 1 species
AAUGAACGCUGGCGGCAUGCCUAACACAUGCAAGUCGAACGAGCCCUUCGGGUCUAGUGGCGCAUGGUUUUGUAACGCGUGGGAACCUGCCCUUAGGUUUGGACUAACUCCCCGACAGGGGUGCUAUUACCGGAUCAUGUCUUCGGCCCAAUCAUUUAUUGCCUUUGGUUGUGCCCGCGUUGCAUACGAUAGUUGUGAGGGUAAUAGCCUAACAAGGCGAGCAUUCAUAGCUGGGCACAGAGGAUGGUCAGCCACACUGGGAGUAGGACACGGCCCAGACUCCUACGGGAGGCAGCAGUGGGUAAUGUUGGACAAUGGGCUGAGGCCUGAUCCAGCAAUGCCGCGAGAGUGAUGAAGGCAUGAGAGUUGUAAAGCGCUUUUACCCGGGAUGAUAAUGACGGUACCGAGAGAAUAAGCCCCGGCUAACUCCGUG